UACGGAGGGGACUAGCGUUGUUCGGAAUUACUGGGCGUAAAGCGCACGUAGGCGGAUUUGUAAGUCAGGGGUGAAAUCCCGGGGCUCAACCUCGGAACUGCCUUUGAUACUGCAAAUCUCGAGUCCGGAAGAGGUGAGUGGAAUUCCUAGUGUAGAGGUGAAAUUCGCAGAUAUCAGGAGGAACACCAAUGGCGAAGGCAGCUCGCUGGGACGUGACUGACGCUGGAGACGCGAAAGCGUGGGGAGCAAACAGG
rnacentral:rRNA from 1 species